AUGUACCACGCGUACCCUGCGAUCCCCCCGCGCCGUCCACACCCGCCUGACGGCUGCUCGCUACGUUCUGUUAGCC
rnacentral:sRNA from 1 species